rnacentral:rRNA from 1 species
UCCAGACUCCUACGGGAGGCAGCAGUGGGGAAUAUUGCACAAUGGGCGAAAGCCUGAUGCAGCGACGCCGCGUGAGUGAAGAAGUAUUUCGGUAUGUAAAGCUCUAUCAGCAGGGAAGAAAAUGACGGUACCUGACUAAGAAGCCCCGGCUAACUACGUGCCAGCAGCCGCGGUAAUACGUAGGGGGCAAGCGUUAUCCGGAUUUACUGGGUGUAAGGGGCGCGUAGGCGGAUGUGCAAGUCAGUCGUGAAAUACCGGGGCUCAACCCCGGGGCUGCGAUUGAAACUGCACACCUUGAGUAUCGGAGAGGAAAGCGGAAUUCCUAGUGUAGCGGUGAAAUGCGUAGAUAUUAGGAGGAACACCAGUGGCGAAGGCGGCUUUCUGGACGACAACUGACGCUGAGGCGCGAAAGUGUGGGGAGCAAACAGGAUUAGAUACCCUCGUACG